GACGAACGCUGGCGGCGUGCUUAACACAUGCAAGUCGAACGGAAAGGCCCUGCUUUUGUGGGGUGCUCGAGUGGCGAACGGGUGAGUAACACGUGAGUAACCUGCCCUUGACUUUGGGAUAACUUCAGGAAACUGGGGCUAAUACCGGAUAGGAGCUCCUGCUGCAUGGUGGGGGUUGGAAAGUUUCGGCGGUUGGGGAUGGACUCGCGGCUUAUCAGCUUGUUGGUGGGGUAGUGGCUUACCAAGGCUUUGACGGGUAGCCGGCCUGAGAGGGUGACCGGGCACAUUGGGACUGAGAUACGGCCCAGACUCCUACGGGAGGCAGCAGUGGGGAAUAUUGCACAAUGGGCGGAAGGCUGAUGCAGCAACGCCGCGUGCGGGAUGACGGCCUUCGGGUUGUAAACCGCUUUCGCCUGUGACGAAGCGUGAGUGACGGUAAUGGGUAAAGAAGCACCGGCUAACUACGUG
rnacentral:rRNA from 1 species